rnacentral:rRNA from 1 species
UUGCACGCUGGCGGCAUGCUUUACACAUGCCAGUCGAACGGUAACAGGCCGCAAGGUGCUGACGAGUGGCGAACGGGUGAGUAAUGCAUCGGAACGUGCCCAGUCGUGGGGGAUAACUACUCGAAAGAGUAGCUAAUACCGCAUACGAUCUAUGGAUGAAAGCGGGGGACCGUAAGGCCUCGCGCGAUUGGAGCGGCCGAUGUCAGAUUAGGUAGUUGGUGGGGUAAAGGCUCACCAAGCCAACGAUCUGUAGCUGGUCUGAGAGGACGACCAGCCACACUGGGACUGAGACACGGCCCAGACUCCUACGGGAGGCAGCAGUGGGGAAUUUUGGACAAUGGGCGCAAGCCUGAUCCAGCAAUGCCGCGUGCAGGAAGAAGGCCCUCGGGUUGUAAACUGCUUUUGUACGGAACGAAACGGCUCUGGUUAAUACCCGGGGCUAAUGACGGUACCGUAAGAAUAAGCACCGGCUAACUACGUG